rnacentral:rRNA from 1 species
AACGAACGCUGGCGGCAUGCCUAACACAUGCAAGUCGAACGAGACCUUCGGGUCUAGUGGCGCACGGGUGCGUAACGCGUGGGAACCUGCCCUUAGGUUCGGAAUAACUCCCUGAAAGGGGUGCUAAUACCGGUUAAUGUCUUCGCACCAAAGAUUUAUCGCCGUUGGAUGGGCCCGCGUUGGAUUAGCUAGUUGGUAGGGUAAAAGCCUACCAAGGCGACGAUCCAUAGCUGGUCUGAGAGGAUGAUCAGCCACACUGGGACUGAGACACGGCCCAGACUCCUACGGGAGGCAGCAGUGGGGAAUAUUGGACAAGGGGCGAAAGCCUGAUCCAGCAAUGCCGCGUGAGUGAUGAAGGCCUUAGGGUUGUAAAGCUCUUUUACCCGGGAUGAUAAUGACAGUACCGGGAGAAUAAGCUCCGGCUAACUCCGUG